CGUGCCUAAUACAUGCAAGUCGAGCGGAAUGAUGAAGAAGCUUGCUUCUUCUGAUUUUGGCGGCGACGGGUGAGUAACACGUGGGCAACCUACCUUGUAGAUUGGGAUAACUCCGGGAAACCGGGGCUAAUACCGAAUAAUCCAUUUUUGCUUCAUGGCGAGAUGUUGAAAGACGGUUUCGGCUGUCACUACAAGAUGGGCCCGCGGCGCAUUAGCUAGUUGGUAGGGUAAUGGCCUACCAAGGCGACGAUGCGUAGCCGACCUGAGAGGGUGAUCGGCCACACUGGAACUGAGACACGGUCCAGACUCCUACGGGAGGCAGCAGUGGGGAAUUUUUCGCAAUGGGCGAAAGCCUGACGAAGCAACGCCGCGUGGAUGAUGAAGGCUUUCGGGUCGUAAAAUCCUGUCGGCAGGUAUGAAACUUUUGGUAACUAAUAUCUACCAAAAUUGACAGUACCUGCUGAGAAAGCCCCGGCUAACUCCGUG
rnacentral:rRNA from 1 species